rnacentral:rRNA from 1 species
AGAUUAAUUUAGUUAUGUUUAAAUCCAUUUUAUUUAGAACCUUUCAUAAAAGAAAUAUUGGUGAUGUAUUCAGAUUUUUACAAGCUUUCCAAUGAAUUUCGUAUCCUUAGUAUAGGGUACCUGUCAGCAUUAGUGUAGCUGUUCAGUGCUCUGAGAUUUCGUCAAAAUUUAAAUUUUCCUUCAUUUGAAAUGAUGAGGGAAGGUGUGGUUACUUCUACGCUUUAGUUAUUUUUAUCUUUCUGAUGAAAUCCAUAUGUAGGAGUUCAAUCACAUAUUUUUGAAUUUCCUUCCUACUUUCCAAGGUUUUUUGGAAUGGAUCUCUUGUCAGAAUGGGUAUAGAAGGUCUUUUCACAUCCAGGUAUAAGUUUCACCAUGGUGAAUGUUACGUAAAUUGUUGGAAAUUGACUUCACGUCAAGAAAACGUCAAGCAGGAUAAUAGUCAACCACCUGAUUGUCCUGAAACCAUCAGAAGGCUUGUAGAAAUUCCACAAGACCUGCUGGUUUGCACACACAUGCAACAAAGAGGUCCUUCAGCCAGUGUUAAUGUAGAGAAGGGGUUUGUGACUUCCCAGGUCAUCCAUGAAAGGACUCCACCUCAGCACGAUUGAAAUUUUAUGGGUGAAAUUGGUAGAGCCCACCCCAUAGUACCACGGGUGAGGGUGUGUGUGUGAGGCACACACCAAGGCCAAAUGAUGUGUUGUCCUAAUUUUGUGUACAUAAAUGAGCUCAGCAUAAGCAGGUGACAUGGUUGGAGCCCGCUUGAAAAUGCAGCAGCUGUGAAACAUGUGGAACCAACCCCAGAAGGUGGGGGUGCAGUUGCAUUUGUGUGUGUGCAUGCAGUUGUGGUUGCAUUUAUGUGUGUGGGUGGGGUGGAAGGGGCAGGUGCGUAAGUGUGAGACAUGCGCAAGAAGCCAAGAGCAUGUGCAGGUUUGUAAGCCCUGAAAAUGGAUGGUGCUUAAGUGUAUUACCUAUACCUUGCCAUUAAUAUUAUUUAAAAUAUUAAUGGGUAGGCAGGUGUGGGGGUUUUGUAUUGAAGGUUUAGCAGUGAUUCUCAGUGAAACAGCCUCUAGUGCAGAUCUUCGUGGAAGUAGCAAAUAUUCAAGUGAGAACCUUGAACACUGAAGUGGUGAAGGGUUCCAUGGUCAAAGUAGUUGGACAUAGUUUAGUCAGUCCUGAAAGAUAGGGAAAGUCUGUUUUAAAGUAUGCUUUUGUUAGCAUCACCUAUUGAAAGGGAAUGUAGUUAAAAUGACCAACUGGGAUACAGAUUUUGAAUGGUAACAUAUAAGAACUUGGUGACAUCUAAAAGGGCCCCAGGAAGAGUUUUCUUUUCUCAUUAAUAAUCUGAAACCCUGGAAGCAAAUUAUUUGGAGAUAGGUCUUAAUUAUUGGUAGAGAUUUACACCUUUGUAAAGUCUGGGGUGUCCUUGAGGAUCCUUGAAAAAUCAAGGGAUUUACAAAGUCUUGUACCCAACUGUACCAAUAUUGGCAUCAAGUCCCCAAGGUGAUCAGCCUCUGGUAAAUAGAAUAAUGUAGAUAAGGGAAGUUGGCAAAAUAGAUCCGUAACUUAGGGAAAAGGAUUGGAUCAUAGGGCAGGGAUUGUUGGGCCCUUAAUAGAUCUUUAAGGAUCUGACUAGGACUACUACUAGGAAACUUGUAGCGGACUUUGAAGGAGCUUUAUUGUGAUGUUUUGGGCAGCCUUUAAAAUUGUCUGGCAAGCAAUUAACUGUCAUCUAUUAACUGGAACAGACAAGGGGAAUCUGACUGUCUAAUUAAAACAUAGCAGUGUGAUGGCUAGAAAAUGGUGUUGACACAAAGUUAUUUCUUCCCAGUUCUCUGAAUAUCAAAGUGAAGAAAUUCAACCAAGCGUGGGUAAAUGGUGGGAGUAACUAUGACUCUCUUAAGGUAGCCAAAUGCCUUGUCAUCUAAUUAGUGACGCCCAUCAGUGGAUUAAUGAGAUUCCCACUUUCAUUAUCUACUAUAUAGAAAAACCACAGCCAAGGUAACGGGCUUGAAAGAAUCAGCGGGGAAAGAAGACCCUGUUGAGCUUGACUCUAGUUUGAUAUUGCAAAAAGACAUAGAGGUUGUAGAAUAAGUGGGAGCAUAAUCGCCAGUGAAAUAACACUACCUUUAUUGUCUUUUUACUUAUUCAAUGAAGCAAAGCUGGGAUUAACAUCCCAAUUUUUAGAAUUAAGGUCUUUUAUAGGCCAAUUGGGGUUGAAGACACUGUAAGGUGGGUAGUUUGGCUAGGGCAGCACAUCUGUUAAAUAAUAAUGCAGGUGUCCUAAGGGGGACUUAUUGAGAACAGAAAUCUCAAGUAGAACAAAAGGGUAAAAGU